UCCACAUCACAGUACUGAAAAAAAAUGACAACCAACAUCCGUCCCACAAGAGACAAAUUGUAAAUAGAAUUGGAGCUUACUCUGAAACUGCUUGGAAGAGCAAAACCGGCAGUGAAUGAAAGCCAGUUGCUGAUGAACUCCAUACUGCAUAGAAAGACUGAAGACUGAAAUACCAUUUGUUCUGAAAGCAUGUACUUCACAUAAAAGGAUAUACAAGAAGGACCAAAAUGAAAGCAUUCCUGUCUUGCAAUACAUUUUUAUCAACUCUUUUGGAGAUAUCAAGAAAAAAAAUGUUGCAUACCUGCCCACAGAUCUUUAUUUUGCUAUACUCAUUUAUUUGAAAAUAAAAGUUAACCUACUUGUGCUGA